rnacentral:rRNA from 1 species
AGUGAACGCUGGCGGUAGGCCUAACACAUGCAAGUCGAACGGCAGCACAGUAAGAGCUUGCUCUUACGGGUGGCGAGUGGCGGACGGGUGAGGAAUACAUCGGAAUCUACUUUUUCGUGGGGGAUAACGUAGGGAAACUUACGCUAAUACCGCAUACGACCUACGGGUGAAAGCAGGGGAUCCUCGGACCUUGCGCGAUUGAAUGAGCCGAUGUCGGAUUAGCUAGUUGGCGGGGUAAAGGCCCACCAAGGCGACGAUCCGUAGCUGGUCUGAGAGGAUGAUCAGCCACACUGGAACUGAGACACGGUCCAGACUCCUACGGGAGGCAGCAGUGGGGAAUGUUGGACAAUGGGCGCAAGCCUGAUCCAGCCAUACCGCGUGGGUGAAGAAGGCCUUCGGGUUGUAAAGCCCUUUUGUUGGGAAAGAAAAGCAGCAGGUUAAUACCCCGCUGUUCUGACGGUACCCAAAGAAUAAGCACCGGCUAACUUCGUG